UCCUGUAUAUCAGCGUCCCGCGUUCAUAAAAUGCCGAUAAUUAGCCAGGAUAAAAUUUAAUUCAUUUAAUACAUGUAAUUAGUGUUUUUUAAUAAAUUUGGAUUAAAAAAAAGAACCUUUACAUUUUGAAUGACAUAAAUAAAGUACGUUAGCGACUUUUAAUAUGAUCUGCACGCCGCCAUUUUGUUUGUUGGUAAGGUACAGUGGUGUUGCCAACUUGUAGUAUUUUAAGGAUCUUUUUUUUUUUUCACAUUUUGUUUACUAAUGGCUGUUGCAAGUGUUCUAAAGAUAAAUAAAGUAAUUAAUUAUAGAAACUAAGGUAAAUUUUUAUGAUGGAUAGAUGAGUGGAUGGAUGUUUGUGGUUGGUUAUUAGCUUAGAUUGAUGGUUGGUUGCAUGGUUGUGUUAGGGUGUUUGAUGGUUGGAUGUUGUUGGUUUGCUGUAGUUGGUUGGAUGGAUUGUUGUGUUAGGAUGUUUGAUGGUUGGAUGUUAUUAUUUUGCUGUGGUUUUUUGGUUGGCAGUGGUUGGUUGGUGUUGGUAGGUUGAUUGUGGUUGAUUGCAUCGAUAGUUUAUUGGUUGAUUUGAUUGAUGGUUGGUUGUGAUUUUUUUGUUGGUUGGCAGUGGUUUUUUGGUUGUGGUUGAAUGGAUAGAUGGUUGGCUGGGAGGUUGUGUUAAGGUGUCUGAUGGUUGGAUGGAUGUUGAUUUUAUGUUUUGGUUGCUUGGAUGGAUGGUUUAAUGGUUGUUAGUGGUUUGUUGUUUUUUGGUUGAUUGAAAUUGGUUGGAUGGUUUGAUGGUGUUGCUAGGUUGGUUGUGGUUGGUUGGAUGGUUUGAUAGUGUGUUUGAUGGUGUUCUUACAUUUGUUGGUUGGUUGGAUAUUGUAGGUUUGCUGUGGAUGGUUGGUUGGUUGGAUGGUUUGAUGGUGUUGGUUAGUCAGUUGUGGUUGGUUUGAUGAUGUAGGUAGAUUUGUUGGUUGGAUAUUGUUGUUUUGCUGUGGAUACUUGGUUGAUAAUGGUUGGUUGGUUAUGGUUGGUUGGAUGGUUUGAUGGUGUUGUUAGGUAUGUUGGUUGGUUGUGGUUGGUUGGUUUUGGUAGGUUUGUUGGUCGAAUGUAUGGUUUGUUGGUUAAUUUGAUUGAUGUUUGGUUGUAGUUUGUUGUUUUUGGUUGGUUAGCAGUGGUUGGUUGGUUGUGGUUGGCUGGAUGGUUGGAUGGUUCUGUUACAGUAUUUGAUGGUUGGAUAUUAUUUGUUUGCUGUGGAUGGUUGGUUGACAGUGGUUGGUUAUGGUUUGUUGGAUAGUUGUGUUAGGGUGUUUUAUGGUUGGAUGUUGUUGGUUUGCUGUGGUUGGUUGAUUGGAUGGUUCAGUUAGGCUGUUUGAUGGUUGGAUAUUGUUGGUUUACUGUGGAUGGUUGGUUGGUUUUGGUUGGUUUGAUGGUUAUGUUAGGGUGUUUGAUGUUUGGACGUUGUUGAUUUGAUGUGGAUAGUUGGUUGUGGUUGGUUGCUUGGUUUGAUGAUGUUGGUAGGUUGGUUGUGGUUAGUUGAAUGGUAUUGGUAGGUUUGUUGGUUGGUUGGAUAUUGUUGGUUUGAUGGGGUCGGUUGGCAGUGGUUGGUUGAAUGGUUUGAUGGUGUUGAUAGGUUGGUUGGUUGUGGCUGGUUUGAUGGUGUUUUUACAUGUGUUGGUUGGUUGGAUAUUGUAGGUUUGCUGUGGGUGAUUGGUUGGUUAUUUUUGGUUGGAUGGUUUGAUGGGGUUGGUAGGUUGGUUGGUUGUGGUUGGUUGGAGGGUUUGAUGGUGUUGGUUGGUUGGUUGUGGUUGGUUUGAUGGUAUUAGUAGGUUUGUUUGUUGGUUGGAUAUUGUUGGUUGGAUGGUUUGGUGGGUUGGUAGGAUAUUGUUGGUUUGCUGUGGAUGGUUGGUUAUUGUUGGUUGGAUGGUUUGAUGGGGUUGGUUGGCAGUGGUUGGUUGGUUGUGGUUGGUUGGAUUGUUUGAUGGUGUUGGUUUCAUGGCUGAAUGAAUGGCUUAUUACUUGGUUUGAUGGUGUUGGUAGUUGGUAAGUUGUGGUAGGAUGACAGGAUGGUUGGUUGGUUAAUUUGAUUUGUUUGAUGCCUGAAUGUGGUUAGUUGGUUGGUUGGCUGUUCAACAGUCUCCCGAAUCGACAGGAAUAAUAAACAAACUAGUGUGACCAUAAACGAAAAUAAUAUCCGAUUCUCACUCCAUCACAACUACGCUAUUACACUCCUGGCACUACUUGCUCUUAUCGAGACCUAAACGGGGACUGAUAUUAUAAUAAGGUAAUAAUUUUUUUGUGACCUUUAUAAACGUGUAUUUUUGUAUUUUAUUUCAAAGAGUAUUGUUAUGGUAAAAUAAAUAUUAACAUUGCACAUGGUU